rnacentral:rRNA from 1 species
GACGAACGCUGGCGGCGUGCUUAACACAUGCAAGUCGAGCGGUAAGGCCCUUUCGGGGGUACACGAGCGGCGAACGGGUGAGUAACACGUGGGUGACCUGCCCUCAGCUCUGGGAUAAGCCUGGGAAACCGGGUCUAAUACUGGAUAUGACUCCAUGACGCAUGUUGUGGGGUGGAAAGCCUUGUGCGGCUGAGGAUGGGCCCGCGGCCUAUCAGCUUGUUGGUGGGGUGANGGCCUACCAAGGCGACGACGGGUAGCCGGCCUGAGAGGGCGACCGGCCACACUGGGACUGAGACACGGCCCAGACUCCUACGGGAGGCAGCAGUGGGGAAUCUUGCGCAAUGGGCGAAAGCCUGACGCAGCGACGCCGCGUGAGGAUGACG